rnacentral:rRNA from 1 species
UACGAAGGGGGCUAGCGUUGCUCGGAAUUACUGGGCGUAAAGCGCACGUAGGCGGCGCAGCAAGUCAGGGGUGAAAUCCCGGGGCUCAACCCCGGAACUGCCCUUGAAACUGCAGUGCUAGAAUUCUGGAGAGGCGAGUGGAAUUCCGAGUGUAGAGGUGAAAUUCGUAGAUAUUCGGAAGAACACCAGUGGCGAAGGCGACUCGCUGGACAGACAUUGACGCUGAGGUGCGAAAGCGUGGGGAGCAAACAGGG